GCUGCCCGCCGCCCUCCCACCUUUGCUCUCCCGGCCGCCUGGUUUCCCCCGGCUUGGGGGGAACCCCUCUGCAGCCGCGCUGCCAGUGUGUCCGAGAGUCCGGUGCGCUGGGACUGAGGAUGGACGAAGGGACCUGCCCAUUUCGUUGGUGCCCGGGCGAGAAGGAGCUGCUAGGCUGGGGGUACAGGUGGGACUCGAACCCAGGUGUGUCGGCCCUUAGCUGUGGUUAUUACCCUUACUGCCAUCAGCGUGCCUUCUACCUGCGGGGUUCAGAGCUUAGAGGGGGCGUGCAUUUCUUGUUUCAUCCUCCUGGCAGUCCUGGGGGAUGGGUGUCUCCAGAUUGCAGCGGGGGAAACUGAGGCUCAGAGAGGCGGGGGUGAUAAGAAGCCGAAUUGCGAGACCAGAGCUUGCGUGCCUCGCCUGCAUUUACUUUGAGGGCUCAGCAGUUCAUCCGGGAGACCCAGCAGGACCCACGAGGCUUCUCAUCCUUGGCCAGAACAGAACUUUUGAUUCUCCACCACCAACACUUCCUCUCCAGUCUUCCCAGGCUCAAAAAGUGACAUUACUCUUCACCAGGUGGGACUACCUUCGUCUCUUAUCUGGACUUCUGCAGUAGCUCACCAGCAGAUGCCGUCUGCUCUGCGAUCUUCCCUACAACCCCUCCGCAGCCUAUCGAACACGAAGAAACACUUUCACGGUCGCCUCUCUCUAUCCCUGCCCAUCAACUCCUGGCAACCACUAGUCAACUUUCUGUCUCUACAGAUUUGCUGUUCUGGACGUGUCAUGUAGAUGGAAUCAUACAACGUGUAUUCUUCUAUGUCUGGCUUCUUUCAGUUCGAAGCCAGUGACUUUAAGGUUUAUCCAUGUUGUAGUAUACAUUAGUACUUCAUUUUUAUGUGUGAAUAAUAUUCUGUUCCAAAUACAACAGAACAUUAUUCACAGUUUAGAUACCCGUCUUAUUUGGAAAUAUGUUUUCAGUUCUGUUAGGUAUGGUCCUCGGAGUGGACUUGAUGGGCCACACGGUAACUCCAUCCUUAACUUUUUGAGGAACUGCCAGACUGUUUUCCAAAGCGGCUGCAUCAUUUGCAAUGACCUUUUAAGAAACCACACUUGUCCCCCCCCCCCCAAAAAAAAAAGAAACUACACCUGUCAAGUUUUGACGUAGUACUAAAGAAGAUUAUCUGUAAUUAUUUGACAACACCAUUAAACUAUCCCUCCCAUUUCCAAAGACACAUCUGCGGGAGGUAGAUUUUCUUCAUAUGCUUCAACCCAAACAACAGAUUGCAACAGAUUGACUGCAGAGGGUGAUGUGAGAGCCCAGGUGUCUUCCAUUCUGCCAGACGUUAAAAGGGUUUGCAGAAACCUAAAAGCGUCUUCUCACCAAAUUUCUUUUUUGUUUUGAAGAUUUUUUUCAUAGACCAAAAACAAACAAACAAAAGCCUGUUGACAUGUAAUAGGUUCAUUGUUAUUUUUAAGUGAAUGGAUAGUUUAAAGUAAUUUAAGAAUUUAUUUUUUUAAUUUCCGAUAUGAUAAAUAUCAAUAGCCAUGAUCCUCAUGAACCACCAUAUCGAGAUGCUCCGUGUAAAGAAUAUAAAGGGUUCUCGGGACCCACCUCGGAGCCCAUUCUGGCUGAUGCCGUCCUAUAUGCACUUGAGUUUGCUUCUCUUGCUUUCUGCUCCCUGCAGUUCUGGUCGCUGGCACUCCUGUGCGACACGAAGCGAGUGUGCUUCGUUUUGCCUGGCCUCAGGUUCAUCACUUGUGGAAUGGAGAUGCGGUAUAGAAUAUAUGGGGCGGGGGCGUGUGUGUUGGGACUGAAUUGAGAAGAGGCCACGAAAAAUUGUAAAGCUCAGUAUGGUCCCAAGCUCUGCCUCAAGUGAGAUCCUGAACUCGUGGAGCAAAUGCAGCUGCUGUUUUGCCUAGAGAAUAGCUGAUUAUCCUCUAUUGCUUUGAAUUCCUCUUUUCUGUGGUUUUCACGUUAAUUAAUGCUUUGGGGGAUAGUUUAAAUUGUAGCGAUAGAGAUGGGAGCUCAGGAGAAAUUAGUGACAAUGGUGGGAAUGCCAUUGGGGGAGAGGAUUGGGUGCCGAGUGACUUGGGUGUGUUUAACAAAUGUUCAGUGAACCCCAGCUGUGCUCUAGGUGCUGUCUGCUGGGUGAUGAAGAUGGAGGGCGGGGUGGUGAGGCACAAAGCAGACAAGGUCUUAUUCUCCGAGAGCCUGUAUUCUGCCAGGGAAUAAGGGAGCAGAAAUGGCAAAUGACCAGAAAUGUUGCAGGCUUAUGAUAGGAAGAGAAAAAAAACAAGAUGUUGUGGCAGAGCAAGCAACAAGGUGGGCCUAACCCUGUGGGGCAUUUGAGCUGAGAUGGAAGGAUCCUUAGAGGUCCUCUUAUGUAAAUAAAUGUUCUCCUAAUGUUCCAGUAGAGCAGUUCCUGAAA